AUGGUACUCCCUCCGUCUCAAAAUUCUUGUCUUAGAUUUGUCUAGAUAUGGAUGUAUCUAAUACUAAAACGUGACUUGAUACAUCCGUAUUUAGACAAAUCUAAGACAAGAAUUUUGAGACGGGGGAAUACCUA
rfam:Triticum urartu cultivar G1812 contig549141, whole genome shotgun sequence.